UUGGGAAAGGCUUAAGAGGAUGACUGAGAUUUAUCACUGUCCAAUCAAAUUGGUUGGGCGCUGAUGGAAAGGGAAUUAAUUACCAAAUUCAGUUGUACUUAAAUAUGCAGUGGCACCCAGCCCUCCAUCACCGUUGAAUCACCCCUCUCUAUCACCAUUCAACCAUUGAUGUGAUGGUUUGAUGACGAAAACUCCUCAAAUGAUAUGAAAAACAAUAGAUUUCAGGUCUUGGAAAUUGUGUAUCAUGUAAUGUAAUUUUUGGACCGUAAAUUUUCAAGAUUUUCGAGUGUUCGUAGAUUUGUUCGAUCUACAUUAUUUUUGAAGCUUUGAUUUUUACAAUUAAAUAUAAAAAAAAAACUUUCAAGCUAUCAUUUUGUCAAAAACACAAAAUAAACUUUUAGGCCAUCAUCACGGAGAUUUUUAGUACUAAAACAUCUUUCGACUUAAAGGUGCACCUUGUGUUAUUUGUUUAGGACAUCAGCAUUAUCCAGACCGCGCCCUAUUUUAACCAAAUCCAAGAAUGUUAAAAGGUUUAUUUUUCGUAGUAAAUGGAUAAAUUUUCCUGAUGAAUAAGGAGUACACGGCAUAAAAAAACUAGACGAAAACUAGUAAGUCCCACCAUAGAUCCUCGCACGAGGAAGACCCGCAGACAAAUAGAUCCAUGGCAAGAAAAAUGGGAGGUGUCUAGUAGUCGGCAGACUCAUAUACGUAGCCCCUUACUAAAAUUCAUUUUGGAUGGUUGUUUUCUAUAUAUAUAUAUAUAUAUAUAUAUUAGAUUCAUCAUUUAGGCCAAGAUGACCAUAAAUAUGAAAAGAAAAAUAAAUGUUUAAAAUUAAAAAAUGUUUUUUAGUAUUUCUUUUGUAUCAAUUGUUUAGUAUUUCUUAUACACCGUCCAUAUUUUACUUAUGGACAAUAUAUUUUAGAUAACAUAGAAGAGAGAUAGUAGACUUUAGUAGAUUGGUUACGUGUGGCGUCCACCUAGUACAAUGUCAGUUAAGAGUACAAUGUCAGUUAAGAGUGUGAGUUAGUUCAAAUAGAAAGAUUGAAAAGACGAAAGGUAGGUUUAAAAGGAUGUUGUCGGAAGUAAUCUUACUUGAAUUAGUUUGAAAAAAUAUGAAAAUUUAUAACGCAGUUCAGAAAAAAUAUGAAAACUUAUUACGUGACCUAGAUACGACCUUAGGGUAGCGGCAGAGACCAAAGCCAAUCCCAAUUAAUUAAGAAAAACAGCUACUAAUCAAUUAAUUGAAAAAAAAAGCUACGAUGAUGACACCUUAGAUAAGGUCCAUCCUAGCCAUCGACGUUCGUAAGUAAGCGGCUUUUGCUCCCGUGGGCUUUUCCUUGUUCUUUCACGCACCAGGGAGAGAGAGAGAGUGGCACUGUUAAUUGUCCGUCGUCUGUAUUAGUUUGUAGCAGUAUGGGGAAUCUGGCAAACAUGGCGAUUGCUUUCUUUGUUCCCAUUCCCUCCAUUGUGUUCCACCUUACAUCCCUUCACUGCCACUCACUUUCUACAGAUCCGCCGCACCCAUGGAAGUGGCUCGCUCAGCAUCCUAUUUUCUUGGCAAACAUCCUCUUCUUUAUUAAUGUGGACCUCAUCUUCUGGCUCAUCGGUCUCCUUCAGGCCAACACUUGGUUGAUAGACUUGUACUGGACAGUGAUACCAGUCUUGCUGGUUCACUAUUACAAGACCCACCCUAAUGGGGAAUAUGCUUUGUGGAGAUCAAGGGCCGUGGUUUUUCUCACAUGGGUGUGGAGCAUUAGGUUGACCCACAAUUAUUUCAGAAGAGAAAGGUGGGAGUGGGGUAAGAGAGAGGAUUGGAGAUACAAUGAUCUCAGGAAGAAAUUCCCAAGGAGCUGGUGGUGGCUUCAGCUUUUUGCAGUUUAUGUCUCACAACACGCCUUUCUGAUUGGCAUAUGCCUCCCAAUGUAUGCCGUGCACACCAGCAAAAAGCCAUGGAAUGGUUGGGACAGUGUUGCAACAAUCAUCUGCAUGAGCGGCAUUAUUGUGGCAUACUUUGCUGAUACUCAACUUUACAAUUUUGUUCAAAAAAAUAAUCUAUUGAAGGAUCUUAGCAUGCCAGGAAUACCCAACCUUGAUAAGGGCUUGUGGCGCUAUUCUAGGCAUCCUAACUACUUUGGGGAGCUGCUUUGGUGGUGGGGACUGGUUGUCUUUGCAUGGAAUGUUGGGCAUGGCUGGACUUUCAUUGGUUCAUUGUUGAAUACUUUUUGCUUAGCUUAUGUAACCGUACUUGUUGAGCAAAGGAUGGUCUCUCAAGAAUAUAGAGCCAAGGCAUUUAGAGAAUACAAGGCUACUACUUCUGUGUGGAUUCCAUGGUUCAAGUGUACUCCAACUAGAGCAAAGGAUAAGAACACAUGAUAUUACUUUGAACUCAUGGCUUAUUUAAGCUCCGUGGUGUUUUUAAUUCAGAUGCAAUGCGGGUGGCCAGGAAAUUGAAUACCAUUCAGAGGUUUUAAAGAGGCUGUGCCAAGAAACCAUGAUGGUUUGCAGAUCAGGCAUCUUGAUGGACAUGAAUACUCUUUAAAUAUAUAACUUGGAUAAGAAUACCUUUUAGACAAAUGUCUUUGGCAUUUCAACAUUGAGCCAGUGACCCUCCAAGCUAGAUUGGUGGCAACAUUGAGCCAGUGACCCUCCAACCUAGAUUGGUGGCAACAUUGAGCCAGUGACCCUCCAAGCUAGAUUGGUUGCAGGGAAGUACGAUCAUGAGAAAUGGGUGCAUUAUCAAGGAUCCAGGAAAGCAUAGCAUGAUUUCAAGGCAUCAGUGGGGUAUCUUCUCUAUAGGAGAAAAGAUAAAGAGAGGGAAUGCAUUUAGGACUGAGGAUGUGAGUAGACUCAGGUUUAGCUGUGAUAUGGGAUGUGCGGAGGAGGCUCUUAACAAAAGCUAGUCUACUUGUAUCUUUCAAGGCAUUGGUGGGCUAUCUUCUCUGUAGGAGAAAAGAUAAAGAGAGGGAAUGCAUUUAGGACUGAGGAUGUGAGUAAACUCAGGUUUUGCUCUGAUAUGGGAUGUGCGGAGGAGGCUCUUGACAAAAGCUAGUCUACUUGUAUCUUUUGUGGUGAUAGUUGGAUAGUUUGGAGGUGACAAGUGAUUGUGUCCUUGUGCCUUUGCUUAUAGGAGUGUGAUGGUUGAUUAGAAAGAGGAGCUAAAGAGUUUAGGACCGAGGGUUAUUUCUCAGCUAGAUCCUUUCUGAAUGACAUAUAAGGGGAAGGGGAUGGACACUUAUCUAUUGACUAGAGUUGGGUUUCCAAGUUUAAUUCAUGUCUUGCUUUUAGUUAGUCACAAAUCUCACUGCAUAUAUCUUCAAAAACUAGAAUGGUUAGCUUGAAUUGCUUGAUUCUUAUGUCGGCAAACAUUGGAGACUUUGAGAAGAUCCUACUGUAUCAACCUUUAUGAUUGCAAGAGGAGGGAAUUUUUAUUGGAACUGUGAGUUUCACUGUGGUCACACCAAUAUCGUUGAAGGAUCUCAUCUGUCAGUUGCAUGUUGCAUUUUGGUUGAUUGAGGUCACAUUCUUUGAGGAUAUUUCUUUGGCUAUUUUUUAGGAUGUUUAAAAUAUAUAAAUGAAAUGAUCAUGAAGAGCAUAGAUAUGGACUUCAUGAAAUUAUGAAA